rnacentral:rRNA from 1 species
GAGACCGAUAGUGAACCAGUACCGCGAGGGAAAGGUGAAAAGAACCCCGAGCAGGGGAGUGAAAUAGACCCUGAACCCGCGCGCCUACAAGCGGUCGGAGCCGAGUAAUUCGGUGACGGCGUGCCUUUUGCAUAAUGAGCCUACGAGUUAGUCGUCACCAGCGAGGUUAAGGGCUUCAGGCCCGUCAGCCGAAGUGAAAGCGAGCCUUAACAGGGCGUGAAGUUGGUGGCGCUAGACGCGAAACCUUGUGAUCUACCCACGAGCAGGUUGAAGUCGCGGUAACACGUGAUGGAGGACCGAACCGGUAAACGUUGAAAAGUUUUCGGAUGACUCGCGGGUAGGGGUGAAAGGCCAAUCAAACUGGGAAAUAGCUCGUACUCUCCGAAAUGCAUUUCGGUGCAGCCUGUGAUGUUCUGUUCCAGAGGUAGAGCUACUGGUUGGACGCGAGGGCUUCACCGCCUAUCAAAUCCGGAUAAACUCCGAAUGCUGGAACACGAAAUCAUGGAGUGAGCCCGCGGGUGCUAAGGUCCGCGGACGAGAGGGAAAGAACCCGGACCACCGGCUAAGGUCCCGGAUGGACAGUUAAGUUGAUCAAACGAGGUGGGAUCGCGGAGACAGCUAGGAUGUUGGCUUGGAAGCAGCCAUUCAUUUAAAGAGUGCGUAACAGCUCACUAGUCGAGCGAUCCCGCGUGGAUAAUACACGGGCAUCAAACUGUCAACCGAAGCCGUGGGGUUAGUGAUGAGCUAACCGGUAGGAGAGCAUUCCUGCCAGCUUUGAAGGUCACCCGCGAGAGUGACUGGAGCGGCAUGAAAAGCAAAUGUAGGCAUAAGUAACGAUAAUGGGGGCGAGAACCCCCCACGCCGCAAGACCAAGGAUUCCCCGGCAAUGUCAAUCAGCCGGGGGUCAGCCGGCCUCUAAGGCUAACCCGAACGGGGACGCCGACGAGAAACGGGUUAACAUUCCCGUGCUUCUCGUCACCGUGACGCGGUGACGGGGUGAUGAAUGGACCGCGCGCAGACGGAAUAGCGCGUUGAAGGCCGUACCCUUUGAGGGUGGUAGUCAAGCACGCCACCGGAGGCGACAGCCGAUAGUACCUCGAGGCCUCGGCCGAGGGGAUAGCGUCCAGGCAAUUAACCCCCUAGAAAACCCGCUAAACUUCAAGUGACGAGGAACCGUACUGUAAACGGACACACGUGGUCGGGUAGAACAUACCAAGGCGCUCGAGUGAUUCAUGGUCAAGGAACUAGGCAAAAUAGUCCUGUAACUUAGGGAUAAAGGACGCUCUAGUGAUAGAGCCGCAGAGAAAUGGCCCAGGCGACUGUUUACCAAAAACACAUGGCUAUGCCAAAUCGAAAGAUGACGUAUAUGGCCUGACACCUGCCCGGUGCCGGAAGGUUAAGAGGAGAGCUCAUCAGUAAUGAGAAGGUUUGAAUUGAAGCCCCGGUAAACGGCGGCCGUAACUAUAACGGUCCUAAGGUAGCGAAAUUCCUUGUCGGGUAAGUUCCGACCUGCACGAAUGGUGUAACGAUCUGGGCACUGUCUCGACCAUGAGCUCGGUGAAAUUGUAGUUCCGGUGAAGAUGCCGGGUACCCGCGACGGGACGGAAAGACCCCGUGAACCUUUACUGCAGCUUCGCGUUGUUCCCGGGCACGGGACGUGUAGGAUAGGUCGGAGGCUACGAUUCGGUUUCGCCAGGAAUCGAGGAGCCAUCGUUGAAAUACGACCCUUCUCUUGUCUGGGAUCUAACCCAUGGUAAUGGGGACACCGCGUGGUGGGUAGUUUGACUGGGGUGGUCGCCUCCAAAAGCGUAACGGAGGCUUCCAAAGGUACCCUCGGGUUGGUUGGUAAUCAACCUCAGAGUGCAAUGGCACAAGGGUGCUUGACCGG